CCUACGGGAGGCAGCAGUGGGGAAUAUUGCACAAUGGGGGAAACCCUGAUGCAGCGACGCCGCGUGAGUGAAGAAGUAUUUCGGUACGUAAAGCUCUAUCAGCAGGGAAGAAAAUGACGGUACCUGACUAAGAAGCCCCGGCUAACUACGUGCCAGCAGCCGCGGUAAUACGUAGGGGGCAAGCGUUAUCCGGAUUUACUGGGUGUAAAGGGAGCGUAGACGGCAGCGCAAGUCUGGAGUGAAAUCCCAUGGCUUAACCAUGGAACUGCUUUGGAAACUGUGCAGCUAGAGUGCAGGAGAGGUAAGCGGAAUUCCUAGUGUAGCAGUGAAAUGCGUAGAUAUUAGGAGGAACACCAGUGGCGAAGGCGGCUUACUGGACUGUAACUGACGUUGAGGCUCGAAAGCGUGGGGAGCAAACAGGAUUAGAUACCCGAGUAGUC
rnacentral:rRNA from 1 species